rnacentral:rRNA from 1 species
CCUACGGGUGGCUGCAGUAGGGAAUAUUGGACAAUGGGUGCGAGCCUGAUCCAGCCAUGCCGCGUGCAGGAAGAAGGCGUUAUGCGUUGUAAACUGCUUUUGCCAGGGGAUAAAAUAACUUUGCGCAGUUGAUUGAAGGUACCUGGUGAAUAAGCCACGGCUACCUACGUGCCAGCAGCCGCGGUAAUACGUAGGUGGCAAGCGUUGUCCGGGUUUAAAGGGUUUGAAGGGGGCGUUGGCAGUCAGUUAAGAAAUAUCUCAGCUUAACUGAGAGGGUGCCAUUGAUACUGCGGGGCUUGAGUACAGAUGAGGUAGGCGGAAUUGACGGUGUAGCGGUGAAAUGCAUAGAUAUAGUCAAGAACACCGAUAGCGAAGGCAGCUUACCAAGCUGUAACUGACGCUGAGGCACGAAAGUGUGGGGAUCAAACAGGAUUAGAUACCCUAGUAGUC